CACAGACACUUGCUUGAAGCAGAACUAUCCCCAGAGCGACUGACACCUAUAAAAAUGUCAAUUGAUAUCUACCCCACACUCUUUCUAACAGAAAUUGGAUGGAUUCUGAGGCAUUAAGAAAUAAAUUAAGGAAUAUAUUAAAUAUCAGUACAUGGAUAUCCAGGAUACCUGGUGAAGGUCCGCUACAUAUUUUAAGAGUCAAACUUUUGCCUAUUAGUUAUUCUAACAGCUAAGUUCC